rnacentral:lncRNA from 1 species
GUCCGAACUUCGUUUGGGAUGAUCUUGAUCUUGUUGAACUUUAUUUUCAUCGCGAACCUCGCUAUGAGCUCAAUAUAGACCGAAUCUCGAAGUGUCAAAUUUUAAUAUUAUAUUUUUAUUUUUACUCUUUUUUUUUUUUUCAAUUUCUGCCAUUGUGCAUAUUUCAUUCAUGCCUCCUCUGGACGCAGUUAAUAGGAUAUGCAGUCUACCUAUC